rnacentral:rRNA from 1 species
AUUGAACGCUGGCGGCAGGCCUAACACAUGCAAGUCGAACGAGUGGCGGACGGGUGCGUAAUGUCUGGGAAACUGCCUGAUGGAGGGGGAUAACUACUGGAAACGGUAGCUAAUACCGCAUACCAUCAGAUGUGCCCAGAUGGGGUUAGCUAGUUGGUGGGGUAACGGCUCACAAAGGCGACUAUCCCUAGCUGGUCUGAGAGGAUGAACGGCCACACGCGAACUGAGACACUGUCCAGUCUCCUACGGGAGGCAGCAGUGGUGAAUAGUGCACAAUGGGCGCAAGCCUGAUGCAGCCAUGCCGGGUGUAUGAAGAAGGCCUUCGGGUUGUAAAGUACUUUCAGCGGGGAGGCGUUACCCGCAGAAGAAGCACCGGCUAACUCCGUGCCAGCCGCCGCGGUAAUUC